CAAGACAACUUUACGGAGUUGACGAUUGACGGAGCGAAGCGACGUCAAAGCGUUCAUUAAAGUCGAGUUGGCUUAGGGAUACGUUCGUUGGGUAGGGGAGCGUUCUGUAAGCCUGUGAAGGUGUGUCGUGAGGCAUGCUGGAGGUAUCAGAAGUGCGAAUGCUGACAUAAGUAACGAUAAAGCGGGUGAAAAGCCCGCUCGCCGGAAGACCAAGGGUUCCUGUCCAACGUUAAUCGGGGCAGGGUGAGUCGACCCCUAAGGCGAGGCCGAAAGGCGUAGUCGAUGGGAAACGGGUUAAUAUUCCCGUACUUGGUGUUACUGCGAAGGGGGGACGGAGAAGGCUAUGUUGGCCGGGCGACGGUUGUCCCGGUUUAAGCGUGUAGGUGUGUGUUCCAGGUAAAUCCGGUUCACUUUAAC
rnacentral:rRNA from 1 species